AGGGGAUUGACAUUUUUCACCCAGUGCAGGUUCCUUCACUUCUAUUGGAAGAAUGGCCUUUCCUCCAGGUCUGCUGGAAAUCUGUGUUUGAAUCAUGAAAUGCACUUUUCAAUGGACAUGACAUUCUGGUAACUGGAACAGUAACCAUUUACAAAACGAAGUAUGUCUGGCUUGUAGACCCAGCUGGGAAAGGAUCUAAAUGGGGAGCACAUGGAGAGCUGCCGUGGAUGAGGCCAAGCACAGCAGGUUGUUGGGAUGAGGAGACCAAUGGGAAAUCAGUGAAAGAGGAAGAGCUGGUGUAUGGAAAGUGCCUGUGCCUAUGUUAAAAAGCAAUAUGUGUAAGGACAAAAGGGAGAUUGCACAUAUCUAUGAAUACAAACCUACCCAUCAUGGUAAGUCAGGAACAGAGCCAUGGAGUGGUGCUGCCACCAGGAAUCAGGGCAGGUCCCUCCCAGGUCUGAUCACACCUGACAUUGAGUCCAGCACUGGCCCCAAAAUCUUCUGUGUUAGCAGUCAGUUGGAAAUAUCCUCCAGCAUAAAGGCAGCAGUGUGGGGGGGGUUCAGCUUGAAGGGAAGCCUGGACUGCAGUGCUGGAGCCACGCGUGUGGCUCCUGGAACAUCAGCUCAGCUCCUCCAGCAGGUCUGCUGCAAACACAUGGGGCCAGCUAUUGUGUGUACAGUCUCUGGCUGCUUAUUUUAUUUGUCGGGCAGAGGGAUAAUUGACAGGUGGCUGUCUGGAAGAGAUGAAGCCCUCCAGCAAAACUCUGCAGCUCCAGCAAGAUGCGAGCGACAGAGAAAUGGCUCCAGAGGUGAUAGACUUGUUACUUUUAACACCGCCGGAGAUGGAAGGGAGCAGGGUUGAAUCGCAGUUCAGAACAAUCAUACCUAACUGCUGAACUAAAUAAAAGCCAUGAUUUCAUACCGCUGUCUGUGGCUGCCUCAGACUGAGCCGGGAUUAAUGAGUGUGCUGUUGCCUUUGGAAGGGAGGUGCACGCCUGAGGACUUUGGGUUCCUUUUUUAAGGGGAGCAUCACCCAGGAGGAAGGCAGAGAUGGGGAAUGGGUUGUACCCAAUGCAGUGCUGAUGUUUACCCUCCAACAAACCUUGCUGAGAGAAGCAGGGAGGAGAGCAGUGUUAGUGGGAUGGGCUGGUGCCCAGGUACCCCACCAGCUGCAGGUGUCCAUCUUUCCUUCUUUUCUUUUUUGGUCCUUUUUCUAAAUGCCCUGCCUGGGACUUUGAUGCCUACAGAUCUCCUCCAGGCUUGGCCCUUAUGCUCCUCAAUGAGUCUGCACCUAUUUUGAUGACGUGCAGCACUAUCUGCACCAGACUCAUAAACAAAAACAGAAGCUUAACCAUUAACUCCCUCCAACACAGCACCCCGACCUAUCGCUCUCUGAGAACCAACUUCUCAUAGGGCAGGUUUGUCUAUUUUUUUUAUCAACCUCAAGCUUUUUUUUUUUUAAACUGCUAUGCUUAUGAUGUAGCACCACAGAGGCUCCCACCCUGCCAUGCUGUGGUGGCUGGGGGCUGAGAUGGGACUGGCAGUGCUGAAGCCCGUUGGCCGCCUCCCUCUGCUCUCCUACCUCCGUGUGGCUUUGCAGCAAAUCAAAGUGCAACAAAUGGCUUUGCAUCAUUUCUUUGAGGAGCCCUGGGCCUUGUAUGUUAUCUCGAGGGCAGAGUGUAUGCUCCAAUAAAAGAAGGCUUUAUUACCGACUGCAACGGAGCCAAGGAUUCAAACACGUAUCGCCUUGUGAGUUUGUCGUAAACUCCUUUUUAUGGCCCUUCCAGUUUAUGGCUAAUGGAGAUUUACAGUGGGAAGAAGGGGCCUUGUGCUCUAAUUAAUGUGGUUAUUAGGCUGGGAGGGCUCAGCUCAGCCAGCCCCAUGCUUGCCCUUCAGCACAGCCCUGCAGAGCACACAUGACACGAGGACCCAUGGUAUGGAUGGGGAGCUGAGGUCAAUUCUAUGGGCUGCCAGAGGAGCUGAGCGCAGCAUGGGGCAGUGGAGGCUGUGCUGAAAAUAUCCCAUCCCUCCUGCUUGGGUGGUGCUUCUGUC